rnacentral:rRNA from 1 species
CGUCGAGCGUGCGUAACAAGCAAGUCGAACGGGGGAGCAAUCCCUAGUGGCAAAGGGUCGCGUAACACGUACGCAACCUGCCCUGAAGCGGGGGACAACAGCUUGAAAGGCUGCUAAUACCGCAUGUGUUUGUUUGGUGGCAUCACUGGGCAAACAAAGCUUUAUGCACUUCAGGAGGGGCCUGCGGCCUAUCAGCUUGUUGGUGUGGUAACGGCUCACCAAGGCUUCCACGGGUAGCUGGUCUGAGAGGACGAUCAGCCGGAGUGGGACUGACACACGGCCCACACUCCUACGGGGGGCAGCAAUUGAGAAUCUUGCACAGGGGGGGAAACCCUGAUGCAGCCACCUCGCGUGAAGGAAGAAAUCUUUCGGGGUGUAAACUUCUUUUAUCAGCCAAGAAACAAAUGACAAUAGCUGAUGAAUAAGCCCCGGCUAACUACGUGCCAGCCGCCGCGGUAUUUGCCUUCUACCACGGUUAUAUC